rnacentral:rRNA from 1 species
UACGAAGGGGGCUAGCGUUGCUCGGAAUCACUGGGCGUAAAGGGUGCGUAGGCGGGUCUUUUAAGUCAGGGGUGAAAUCCUGGAGCUCAACUCCAGAACUGCCUUUGAUACUGAAGAUCUUGAGUUCGGGAGAGGUGAGUGGAACUGCGAGUGUAGAGGUGAAAUUCGUAGAUAUUCGCAAGAACACCAGUGGCGAAGGCGGCUCACUGGCCCGAUACUGACGCUGAGGCACGA